rnacentral:rRNA from 1 species
UGUGCCUACGGGAGGCAGCAGUGAGGAAUAUUGGUCAAUGGGCGGUAGCCUGAACCAGCCAAGUAGCGUGAAGGAUGAAGGUUCUAUGGAUUGUAAACUUCUUUUAUAAAGGAAUAAAGUGAGGCACGUGUGCCUUUUUGUAUGUACUUUAUGAAUAAGGAUCGGCUAACUCCGUGCCAGCAGCCGCGGUAAUACGUAGGAUCCGAGCGUUAUCCGGAUUUAUUGGGUUUAAAGGGUGCGUAGGCGGUCCGUUAAGUCAGCGGUAAAAUUGCGGGGCUCAACCCCGUCGAGCCGUUGAAACUGGG